rnacentral:piRNA from 1 species
GCAAACUGCACAGGUCUGUCCUUGGUCCCUC